AAGUGUGAGAGCUGGGCGGGGGUCAGGGAGUACACGGAGCAGUUAGCAGUGCAGAAGGCCCGGGUAGCUGAGCGAUGAACCGAAACUUAAAAAUAAGCCGAGCCCAAUGAUGCGGAGCCUUUCAUGAUGAGGAAACCGAGGUCUAGAGAACUUAAGUGACUUGCCCAAGGUGACACAGCUGGUAAGUGAAGCCAUGGAUCAUCGAACCUGGACAGUCUGACUCCAAGGCCAUGCUCUUAACCUGUUCACGGUAUCACCUCCUGCAAGGACAAACAUUCCACCUUCUUUUCUCCUCUUCAACCCACAGCCUCUGCCAGUGCCUCUUAUUGGCUGAACCCAACGAGAAGCCAGGGAGCCUGGGAAAUGUUGAUGGCUGCGGUACGGAGCAGAGCAGGACAAGAGCAAAGAAUGGACCUGAGAGCAAAUGAGCAAAUCACCAGCUCACGACCUCACCGGGCUGUCAUGAGAUUUAAAUGGGUUACACAUGUGGUGCUGAGCACUCCCCCCCCGGCACGUCAUGGUGCUUAAUGAAAGUUAUUAUUGUUAUUAUAUGUAACAGGCCCAGGGCUAGACAUGGGUAACAGAAAAGACGUCGACUCUACUACCAAGUAGCAGCCAGUCAAAUCACUGUAGCCCGUUUGUUUUUUAGCAAUGACCCAUUCCAUGGACCUCUAGUGUGAACCUUCUAGCAGUCUUUAUCCCCCCAUAUUGAUACAGGUGACCAACUUCAGAGUAUGCAUAUCAACCAUCAGCAUUAAUGAAGAAAAACAGGCUAACAUUGGCCUAUAAGUGUUUGUUCUCCCAGAAUAAAAGGGGUCCUUAAAAACGCAAAAUAUUUUAUGUAAGAUACAAAAUGAUCUGUCAAUAAAACAGGCAUUGACUCCACCAUCUUACCU